CCUACGGGCGGCUGCAGUGAGGAAUAUUGGUCAAUGGGCGGAAGCCUGAACCAGCCAAGUAGCGUGCAGGAUGACGGCCCUACGGGUUGUAAACUGCUUUUAUACGGGAAUAACCCGCCUUACGUGUAGGCCUUUGCAUGUACCGUAUGAAUAAGGGCUGGCUAAUUCCGUGCCAGCAGCCGCGGUAAUACGGAAGGUCCGGGCGUUAUCCGGAUUUAUUGGGUUUAAAGGGAGCGUAGGCCGGAUGUCAAGCGUGCUGUGAAAUGUCCGGGCUCAACCCGGGCCUUGCAGCGCGAACUGGCGUGCUGGAGUCCGCGGAAAGCAGGCGGAAUUCGUGGUGUAGCGGUGAAAUGCUUAGAUAUGACGAAGAACCCCGAUUGCGAAGGCAGCUUGCUGCAGCGGAACUGACGCUGAUGCUCGAAAGCGCGGGUAUCGAACAGGAUUAGAUACCCUAGUAGUC
rnacentral:rRNA from 1 species